AUUGAACGCUGGCGGCAUGCCUUACACAUGCAGGUCGAACGGCAGCACGGGAGCAAUCCUGGUGGCGAGUGGCGAACGGGUGAGUAAUGUAUCGGAACGUGCCCAGUCGUGGGGGAUAACGCAGCGAAAGCUGUGCUAAUACCGCAUACGAUCUAUGGAUGAAAGCGGGGGAUCGCAAGACCUCGCGCGAUUGGAGCGGCCGAUAUCAGAUUAGGUAGUUGGUGGGGUAAAGGCCCACCAAGCCGACGAUCUGUAGCUGGUCUGAGAGGACGACCAGCCACACUGGAACUGAGACACGGUCCAGACUCCUACGGGAGGCAGCAGUGGGGAAUUUUGGACAAUGGACGCAAGUCUGAUCCAGCCAUUCCGCGUGCAGGAUGAAGGCCCUCGGGUUGUAAACUGCUUUUGUACGGAACGAAAAGGUCUCUCUUAAUACGGGGGACUCAUGACGGUACCGUAAGAAUAAGCACCGGCUAACUACGUGCCAGCCGCCGCCGUAA
rnacentral:rRNA from 1 species